UACGGCAUUAUCCGAGCGUUAUCCGGAUUUAUUGGGUUUAAAGGGUGCGUAGGCGGGUUGAUAAGUCAGUGGUGAAAGGUUUGCGCUCAACGUAGACAUUGCCAUUGAAACUGUCAGUCUUGAGUACAAAUGAGGUAGGCGGAAUGUGUUGUGUAGCGGUGAAAUGCAUAGAUAUGACACAGAACACCAAUUGCGAAGGCAGCUUACUGGGAUGUAACUGACGCUGAGGCACGAAAGCGUGGGGAUCAAACAGGAUUAGAUACCCUGGUAGUCCACGCAGUAAACGAUGAUUACUAGCUGUUAGCGAUAGAAUGUUAGUGGCUAAGCGAAAGCGAUAAGUAAUCCACCUGGGGAGUACGACCGCAAGGUUGAAACUCAAAGGAAUUGACGGGGGCCCGCACAAGCGGAGGAACAUGUGGUUUAAUUCGAUGAUACGCGAGGAACCUUACCCGGGCUUGAAAUGCAGAGGAAUGACGAGGAAACUUGUCCGCCAGCAAUGGUCUCUGUGUAGGUGCUGCAUGGUUGUCGUCAGCUCGUGCCGUGAGGUGUCGGCUUAAGUGCCAUAACGAGCGCAACCCUUAUUGAUAGUUACUAACAGGUUAAGCUGAGGACUCUAUUGAGACUGCCACCGUAAGGUGAGAGGAAGGUGGGGAUGACGUCAAAUCAGCACGGCCCUUACGUCCGGGGCGACACACGUGUUACAAUGGGGGGUACAGAGGGGAGCUACUUAGCGAUAAGAUGCGAAUCUCGAAAGCCUCUCGUAGUUCGGAUCGGAGUCUGCAACUCGACUCCGUGAAGCUGGAUUCGCUAGUAAUCGCGCAUCAGCCAUGGCGCGGUGAAUACGUUCCCGGGCCU
rnacentral:rRNA from 1 species